rnacentral:rRNA from 1 species
GACGAACGCUGGCGGCGUGCUUAACACAUGCCAGUCGAACGGAAAGUCCCUGCUUUUGUGGGGUGCUCGAGUGGCGAACGGGUGAGUAACACGUGAGUAACCUGCCCUUGACUUUGGGAUAACUUCAGGAAACUGGGGCUAAUACCGGAUAGGAGCUCCUGCUGCAUGGUGGGGGUUGGAAAGUUUCGGCGGUUGGGGAUGGACUCGCGGCUUAUCAGCUUGUUGGUGGGGUAGUGGCUUACCAAGGCUUUGACGGGUAGCCGGCCUGAGAGGGUGACCGGCCACAUUGGGACUGAGAUAAGGCACAGACUCCUACGGGAGGCAGCAGUGGGGAAUAUUGCACAAUGGGCGGAAGCCUGAUGCAGCAAAGCCGCGUGCGGGAUGACGGCCUUCGGGUUGUAAACCGAUUUCGCCUGUGACGAAGCGUGAGUGACGGUAAUGGGUAAAGAAGCACCGGCUAACUACGUG